rnacentral:misc_RNA from 1 species
GAAAUGCGAUAAGUAAUGUGAAUUGCAGAAUUCAGUGAAUCAUCGAAUCUUUGAACGCACCUUGCGCUCCUUGGUAUUCCUUGGAGCAUGCCUGUUUGAGUAUCAUGAAAUCUUCAAAGUAAAUCUUUUGUUAACUCAAUUGGUUUCUACUUUGGUAUUGGAGGUCUUUGCAGCUUCACACCUGCUCCUCUUUGUUCAUUAGCUGGAUCUCAGUGUUAUGCUUGGUUCCACUCGGCGUGAUAAGUUAUCUAUCGCUGAGGACACUGUAAAAGGUGGCCAAGGUAAAUGCAGAUGAACCGCUUCUAAUAAUCCAUUGACUUGGACAAUACUUUUAUGAUCUCAUCUCAAAUCAGGUAGGACUACCCGCUGAACUUAAGC